rnacentral:tRNA from 1 species
ACAGUCGUGGCCGAGUGGUUAAGCGAUGGACUAGAAAUCCGUUGGGGUCUCCCCGCACAGGUCUAAUCCUGUCGACUGCG